AUCAUAGCUUUGUGGUAGGGGAUCUGCCUUGCAUGUAGGAGACCUUAGGUUCAAUCCCUGGUAGGUAUG